AGCAGCAGCCGCGGGAAAACAGAGGGUGCGAGCGUUAAUCGGAUUUACUGGGCGUAAAGCGUGCGUAGGCGGCUUCUUAAGUCGGAUGUGAAAUCCCUGAGCUUAACUUAGGAAUUGCAUUCGAUACUGGGAAGCUAGAGUAUGGGAGAGGAUGGUAGAAUUCCAGGUGUAGCGGUGAAAUGCGUAGAGAUCUGGAGGAAUACCGAUGGCGAAGGCAGCCAUCUGGCCUAAUACUGACGCUGAGGUACGAAAGCAUGGGGAGCAAACAGGAUUAGAUACCCCCGUAGUCCCUGUCUCUUAUAC
rnacentral:rRNA from 1 species